rnacentral:lncRNA from 10 species
GUCAUAUGACUGGCUUUUAUUGCAUUGUCUCAGAUCCAUAAUGUUAUUUCAAAGUAAUCUUUUAAUAUUUAAUUUCUUUAUGUGUGUAAAUGAGGCCCUAUAUGCAGUCAUAGCCUUAAGCAUUCUGAACACACUACCAAGAAUUCAUAUAAGCAUCUCACACUCACGUGCUCAUGCACUCAACUGUGUACAGACUAACAGACAAAAGACAUCUACUCUAGAUCUGGAAAUUAUUUUUGAAAUUAUUUCUGUAUUAAACAAGGGAUUUACAUUUGAUUUCAUGCCGCUGGUACUAUUUAGGCUCAAAAUACAUUCAUCUUCCCCUAGUGAAUGGAGAAAAUAUAAAUUUUAUUCCUAGCUGUAAAACAAAGGAUCUUGAUUUCCUUGUUGUACAUUUUCCUGCAAGGGUUAUAUUCUCCUUUGCAUGAAUCCAUGGCAAAGUUAUGUUGGUUCAUUUGUUCAAUUGUACAGGAAAGUUAAGAAUACCUGAAAAACUUAUGAGAAUAUUGUAAUAGUAAAGGCAAUCUAUUUCUUAAGCAGUAGAAGAAAAGUUUUUGCUUUCAUAAUUUUAGGACUUAAUCCUCCAUUUACACCAUUAUGCUGUGUCUCCUCUUUAUAAGAAAAGGAACACGUGAGCAAAGUUUAUCUUAAUUUCCACUGACCUGUCAAUUAACCAGUUAUAAAAGAUAUAAAAUAUUUUCUUUUAAAAUUUAUAUUUUCCACUUUUUUUUUACCUUAUUUUUUAAGAAUUGCACCCACACCAAUCAAAUAAAGGAUUUGGGCAAUGAAUUAAACAGCCUCAAUCACUUGAUGGGAAAUCCCUGGAGUGGCAGGAAGAGUAGAUUCUCAACUUUUUCCAACCAUAGAAAAGGGAUCAUAGUUGCUUUCUUGUGCCAAGGGCUACUUUCUCUCAUUUGUGUUCAUGGAGAUUGUUUUUUCAAGAAUUUUCCUAGAUUUACAUUCCAAUUUUUAUUAAUACAUUAUAUCUAAUGACCUUGUGAAGAUUAUUCAGGCCCAUAUUUGCUGACUUUUUAAGGGAAGGAUUGGAUAGAGGCUAAUUAUAUCUUUCCCACAUGUAUGUAUAUUCUAAGAUACUUGGUUGAUUGACUUCCUUUAGUUGAAAGGCUGCCCAAAUUAGACAGGAAAAAGUCAAAUCAAUUGUUGGGCGAAAAUUUAUCGGUUGGUUUAAUAGCUCUGCACAAAGACAGCCUGACUUGAAUGUCUAUAUUACACAUACACUGUUAUUUGAAACACUCUGCUUUAGUACAGAUGGUGGUUGAUGCGUUUAUCCUGCCAUUAGCACCAAUUGGGAGAAAUUUUACUACAGCAUUUUAAAUAAUCACAAGAGUAAAUAGAUUUCUAUUAUUUUAUCUAAUAACAACAAUAGAAUAUAGAAUACAAAGGACUUCCUCUAGAUACAUUUUAUUUUAUCUAAUAACAACAAUGGAAUAUAGAAUACAAAGGACUUCCUUUAGAUACAUUUUCCACAAAUUAUCUGCUUAUUUAAAUACAAAGGGUUUAAUAUCUAUGAAGGUAAUAACUCACCGUGUUUAAAGGAUUUAUUUCUUCAUCUCAGAGGUAGUCUUCAAGUAUUUGCAGUUAAACAGUAUGCAAAUAGCCCUUUGCUUACACAAUUAUCCAGGUAAAAAGACUAUGUCAGGUGUUGAGAUUUCUUUGAAUUUUCUAAGAGUUUUCAUUAUUUACGCCUUUGUCAGAUUAAUUUUAAAGGCAACUCUUGACUGUUAGCUUGGUGUGAAGAGAUCCACUCAGGCAGCUCAUGUCUCCUAAGUGCCCUCAGACAGCAGUGACGGGACACUUCACAUGACGCUAGCAUGUUGGCUCUGUCCGCAUGGCGGAAUGCAUUCCCUGCUGUUAGUUAUCUGAAUUUUUCUCCUGAAUUACAAAUAUAUGGAUUUGGCUCCCCUGAUGCUGGGCUUCUGCUGAGACCUGUUCCAGUACAUUCACGUAUGCUUUGCUCCCCUUCAUUGUUAAGAAAUUAAUUCAAGAAGUUUUUUGCUGUUAAACAUAAGGAAUAAGCAUCACAAUUGCCUCAUCUCAUCACUGAGGAAAGCUGGUUUAAAGUAUCUGAGUGAAAUAAGAGGAAAACCCCAAAUACUUCACCUAACCCAGUUUCCCUUUCCCCUCCUCCAGGCAGAGCAAGGAAAAGAACAGUUGUAAUUUGUGUAAACUCAGCCUUAGAAAAUUUCAAUUCAUUACACACAAAAAUAUUUAUGAAGCAGUUUGGAACCAAAGGGGUAGUAUGGUAGACGAGUGUCUUACAGAGCCUGUGUGGGGAAGCAAAAGGCAAGGGUGUAGUUCACAGGCAGAAGCGAGCUGUGACAUUGUCAGUGCAGCGUGUAAGUGUGGCUCCUCACAGGCGGCCAUUGAUUGUGAGACCUCAUCUUGCUCUGAAGAUUUCCCGGUGGCUGUCAUGCAUUGCUUCUCAAAAGCCUUGCACUGUGAUAAGGUUUAAGGAGACAGAUUGUUGCAACAAUAGCCACUUCUAAGGAAUGUUAUUAUGUCACUGCAGAUGAUGUUUUUAAGAGGUGAUUCAGAAUGAUAGUUUCGUGAUUACGGAAAGGAGUUCCUUCUCAAACUGCAAAAGGAAAGAUGAAAAUAGUCAUGAAGCCUCCAGAACUGAAAUUGGGCACCUUUUAUGAUGGAUAUUUACUUUAAUUCAAUGCAACACAUAUUUAUGGGGCAUAGACUGUAUCAAAUACUUAAUAAAACCCAUUCAGUUUGGAGCUCACACCUAAGCUGCGCUGUAAUUGGAUUUUCUUAAUAUUCAUUAAAAACACAAAACAAUAUUAUUUUACUUUUUUUUGGUAUUUGCAUUUGUUGCUUAUAGUUUGUGGGGUGAAGCAAAGUGGUGUGAAGUUGAAGAAGGGCACUAUGAAUUAAGCCACACAAAUGCCUCUAAAAAAUAGUAAAUGUAACAAUGGUUAACAUUCAUUGAAUACUUACUAUGUGUCAGGCACUGCUAGGAGAUUUAGAAAUAAUUACUUAGUCCUCUUAACAGCCAUGUGGGGUAGGUAAUAUUAUCUCCCCAGUAAGACAGCUUUAAUUCAUCCUUUUUGUUUCUAUCCCUUUCCAUCUCUGUCUGUCUGUCUCUCUCUCUCUUUUCCCCUAGUCUCUAGGACAGGGAUAUAAACUCUUUAGUGAUUUUCAGUAAUAGAGAGCUAAGCACUGCUUAGUGUCAUUGUCAGCUCACUUCUAAUAGAAAGAGCUAACCCAUGUCCACGCAGCUGAAAAUUAGUUUUGUGUCUGAGAUGAUGGUGCUCACAAUCAUAUACAGGGAACCCUGCCACUGUGCUAUGCUGAGUAGGCAAACAUUGGCCUUCCCUUGGAGGGAUCCUCUUCUCUUAGGAUUAAUGUGGGAAGUACAGACAGAAAUCUCUUCUGUUGUCAUGGCGAUACUUCUUCCCUGACAGGGUAUCAUUCAUUCAAAGCAUAUUUGUUUCAUUUGUUUUUAUUCCUACCUUAAGCCAUCUUGGUGGGUUCUGGGUGGUCUAUGCAUAUGUGUGUGUGUUUUAAUUGCAGUAAGAAUAUUGAAUAUGAGAUCUACCCUCUUUAAUUUUUUUUUUUUUUUUUUUUGAGAUGGAGUCUUACUCUGUCACCCAGGCUGGAGUGCAGUGGCUUGAUCUCGGCUCACUAUAACCUCCACCUCCCAGGUUCAAGUGAUUCUCCUGCCUCAGCCUCCCAAGUAGCUGAGACUACAGGCGUGCACCACCAUGCCCGUUAGUUUUUGUAUUUUUAGUAGAGACAGGGUUUCACCAUGUUGGCCAGGCUGGUCUCAAACUCCUGACCUCAAAUGAUCUGCCCACCUCUACCUCCAAAGUGUUGGGAUUACAGGCAAUGAGCCACCACGCCCGGGUUACCUUCUUUAAUUUUUAAGUACACAAUACAGUAUUGUUAACUAUAGCCACAGUGUUGUACAGCAAAUCUCUCUCACCUAUGCAUCCUGCGUAACUGAAACUCUGUGCCCAUUGAACAGCAGCUCCUCAUUUCCUCCCCCAUCAGCCCCUGGCAGCCAUCAUUCUACUCUCUGCUUCUGUGAGUCUGGCUAUUUUAGAUCCCUUAUAGAAGUGGAAACGCGCAGUAUUUGUCCUUCUGUGACUGGCUUAUUUCAUUGAGCAUAACGACCCCCAAGUUUAGCCAUGUUGUUGCUUAUGGCAGGAUUUCCUUCUUUUUUCAGGCUGAAUAAUAUUUCCUUAUAUGUAUAUGCUGCAUUUUUAAAAACCCUUUCAUCUACUGACAGACGUUUAGAUUAUUUCCACAUCUUGGCUAUUAUGAGUAAUGCUACAACGAACGAGGGAGUGAAAAUAUCUCUUUAAGAUCCUGAUUUCAGUUUUUUUGAAUAAAUACCCAGAAGUGGAAUGACUGGGUCAUUCAUAUGGUAAUUCUAAUUAAACAUAGAAUUAUUUUUAAUUUUUUGAGAAACUUCUGUGCUGCUUUCCACAGUGGUUGCAUCUGUUUACAUACUUACCAAUGGUGCACAAGGGUUCCAAUUUCUCCACAUCUUUGCCAACUUGUUAUCUGUGUUUGUUUAAAUGACAGCUGUAUGAGUUGUCCCUUGCCUCCAUGCAAUUCUGAACUUCAGAAAUAAGCACUUGGCUCCUUUAAUAGCUGUCCGUCCUAUGUUGUGUCUACAGCCACUGAAUCCUGUCCUACAUUUUCUGAUUCAUUAACUCAUUCAACUAAUAGCUAUUGAACACCAUCAAUAAGUCAGCCACCAUGAAGAUGAGUAUUUUAUAUUGAAUUCUACUAACAUAUCCUGUAUGUUUACUAUGUUGCCAGAGAGGAUGCUGUGUGCUUUUUUUACAUUGUUAUCUUUACUCUUCACAAGAACCAUGUAAGGUAGGUAUUGGUAAAAUGGGUAAUUUUGGAAAUGCUUCAAUAAUCGAGUAGAAUAACUUUUGCUCUAUGUGAGAAGAUACGUUUUAAAUAAGAUAUGGCUUAGGUUUCUGGUUACCUGAGACAUACUAUACCUUCUCAGAUACUCUCAGACCUGAAUCAUUUAACAAACUAAGGCAGAAAUACUAAAAAUAUCUGGUUCAAUAACAUAGGGGCAUGGAGUAGACAUGCAGAAAAUGCUUGUUCACUUGCCUUGAAAUGGCUCCAGGUGGCCUGAAGGAAUCAAUGAAACUUCUCAAGUAUCUACAUUACAACCACUGGUCCCCACUACACAUUUAUUUCUAAAUAAAGGAGGAGAAACUCUAGCAAAGUAAUAUUUAACAUUUUCAUUGCUUCCAGGAUAAAUCUUAUUGAAUAUGGAGGAUCUGAUAGUGGUAGGUCUAUCAGGAAUAUCAGGGAAAAUGCUUUUGAUGUUGUUGGCAAAGUCAAUUCCUAUCAUUUGUACUUGACACCAGCUACCUAGCAGGCUCAUUGUGAACUUCAGGUUUCGCCCACGUUAUUUAUAUAAAGUAUCUCAGUGUAAUAUAGGGAGUUGCUGGUUAUUUGAAAAUAGUAACAAAAAUAACCCAAACGAGAAACUCCAUUUCCAUAAUUAGCUUUCCUGAAAGUCAGGCAUGUCUUUGAGGACAGGUUUUGGCAGUAUUAUUUUUGUGCACAGGAGGAAAAUUGUUAGUAGGUUUAUAGAUGUUAUUUUUAUAAUAGAAUGUUAAACCCCUGAAAAACAUCAAAAAUUGUCUCCUAGAACUAAUUCUAUGUUUUAAAAACUUGUUUUAAAAAGGAUUCUAAAUAGCAAUAGGGUCUUUCCUCCUUUCUCCACUCCAAUGGUUUAAUGGGAUAGAGGAAUCAAUGUUUAUAUUUUUAAACCUGUAAAUAUUUUAUUUUGGGUAUUUUGUAUAUUUGUUGAUAUAAUUCCAUUUUGUGCAUAUGUACCAUUGUGCAUGUUGCUGUUUUUGAUAGUCACUCUUUUAAUGAAUGUAAGAAGCUUGGGCUAAUAGCACUUUUCUUGUUCCAUUCAAACAUCUGAAAAUGAAAUUACAACACUGCCAUUUUACUGUUGUGUUUAAUUCAGUCAAUAAAUUUUGUUGCUCCUUUGCAUU